CAGCACUUCCAGCCCCUCCAAAACACAGCACCCCCGUACCUGCAGCCUCGGCAUGCCUCAGGGAGAAAGCCGUCCUUCCAGAUAACCUAGAAGAGAACCUUGAAAUGUGGGACCUUACUCCAGACUUAGAGGACAUCAUUAAGCCCUUGUGUAGAACAGAACCACCCCAAACCUCUGUCACCCGAACCCUCAACAACCAGGCGGUGAUCCAGGACAGUGUCCCACAUAUCCAUUGCCACCAGAAAGUACAAGAAAAACCUGGACCUGGGCACCUGCAGACCUGCAGCACUAAUCAGCAUGUCCUAGGUAGCAGAGGUUCGUGGAAGAGCAGAGAUUCUGGGUUUAAUUCUAUCAAAUGGAAAGGAAAGAAAACUCUGAAUCUCAUAGGAAGAGCCAGGACCUGAAGAAAAGGAAACUAGAUCCAUCCUGAAGCUCAAUAAGUUACUAGAUUCUGCCACAAAAGGACUUUGGAAAAUGCAGUUUGGUCACCAAAUUAUUCCCAUCUUGGUUCAUGCUGAACUCUUUAGAGCCUACUGUAGAGGAAGCUGACUACAAGAGGUUGUUGUACCCUGUGAUGGGAAAGAGGCCAACAGAUGCUUUAACUUUUUUCAGUAUUGCUUACUCCUAAGCCAAUGCAUUGAGAUUCUAGGAAGGCUGCCUUCCGUUUUAACGAUGUAGCUCACCAAACCCAGUUUCAUUGCCACCUACAUUAAAUCACGUGUGACCUUGCCUUUC
rnacentral:lncRNA from 1 species